rnacentral:rRNA from 1 species
AGAGUUUGAUCCUGGCUCAGAACGAACGCUGGCGGCGCGCCUAAUACAUGCAAGUCGAGCGAGAAGACGUAGCAAUACGUUUGUAAAGCGGCGAACGGGUGAGGAAUACAUGGGUAACCUACCCUCGAGUGGGGAAUAACUAGCCGAAAGGUUAGCUAAUACCGCAUACGCUUCCCGGACUGCGGUUCGGGAAAGAAAGCGAUACCGUGGGUAUCGCGCUCUUGGAUGGGCUCAUGUCCUAUCAGCUUGUUGGUGAGGUAAUGGCUCACCAAGGCUUCGACGGGUAGCUGGUCUGAGAGGACGAUCAGCCACACUGGCACUGCGACACGGGCCAGACUCCUACGGGAGGCAGCAGUAAGGAAUAUUGCGCAAUGGACGAAAGUCUGACGCAGCGACGCCGCGUGGGGGAUGAAGGUCUUCGGAUUGUAAACCCCUUUCGGCAGGGAAGAUGGAACGGGCAACCGUUCGGACGGUACCUGCAGAAGCAGCCACGGCUAACUUCGUGCCAGCAGCCGCGGUAAUACGAAGGUGGCAAGCGUUGUUCGGAUUCACUGGGCGUACAGGGAGCGUAGGCGGUUAGGUAAGCCCUCCGUGAAAUCUCCGGGCCUAACCCGGAAAGUGCAGAGGGGACUGCUUGGCUAGAGGAUGGGAGAGGAGCGCGGAAUUCCCGGUGUAGCGGUGAAAUGCGUAGAGAUCGGGAGGAAGGCCGGUGGCGAAGGCGGCGCUCUGGAACAUUUCUGACGCUGAGGCUCGAAAGCGUGGGGAGCAAACAGGAUUAGAUACCCUGGUAGUCCACGCCUUAAACUAUGGAUACUAAGUGUCGGCGGGUUACCGCCGGUGCCGCAGCUAACGCAGUAAGUAUCCCGCCUGGGAAGUACGGCCGCAAGGUUGAACUCAAGG